GUAAGCCGUGUGAUGGGAAACCUUCCCGCACGGUUCGGAGAGCACUGAAUUAGAAUGGAGAGGUUCACCACCACAUCAUUGCAUGCAAGGGAGGCUCGCUCGAUUCGCAAAUUGGUCCGACUCGUAAUUAACUUCUGACUCCGU
rnacentral:ncRNA from 1 species